rnacentral:lncRNA from 1 species
UGCACAAAUAAAUCAACUAUCUCUCUGUCAAUGUGUCAAGGCUGUGCCCCAGAAAAGCCAGUGUAUAGAUGUCUACAAGAGUUGUGUGUCGAAUGUGGACACAAUGGCUGGAGAGGUGAGAUGCCCAUUUGGGUGUAGUCAGGCUUUGUGUGUAUGUGUGUAUUAAUAUCUGCACUUAGAGGGGUUUUGUUGAUGAAGUAAAAGACACGUUGACUGUUCUUGGGAAAGGACAAACAUUUAUUUCUGGUGCUCUGUGAAAGAUCUAUGGAUAAGGAUUCUAAAAAUACCCAGUCUGAUCAACCAGUCACAGUCAUUCCCUAUGUCAACAAGAGCUAAAAGAAAACAGAGCCACCCCCCACUCCCCAGCUGUGCUUGGGCCAAUCAUUAGGUCUGCUGGCAGCUGGAUGGGAUCUCUGGUGUAUGCAAAGGGAAUGGGAUUAGCCCAAGAUAAUGCAUGCCACGUGAACUUUUAGUUCCUCUCUCCAGCCAUGUGAGAAUUGGACACGUGUCUUCUGGCCAGCUCAACAGCCUGGGGCCUGGCUAUUGUUUUGGGCUCACCCAGUCGGGAAAUGGAAGGCUUUGGGGCACAUUAUAUUCUUACUCCCUUGGAAAUUUGUAUUUCAAAAGUGGGACCCAAGGAAGGCAAAAGUUCCUCUUAGGGCUCCUGGGACCUACCCUAGAACUAAAAUGACUUCUGGAAGAGGAAAUCAAAUCAUGAAUAGCAGGCUCAUAUCAGAGGAGUUCACAAAAGAAGGCAGGUAGGUAUGUGAUUAAAAUAAUCUUUCAAUCCAAAGUGGGGUUUAUUUUCUUGGUCCAAGGAGGAUGUUGUUGCUGUUCCUGACUCUCCAUGACUCCAUUUGGGGUUUUCUUGGCAAAGAAACUGUAGUGGUUUGUUAUUUCCUUCUGUAGUUCAUUUUACAGAUAAAGAAAAGAGACAAACAGUUAAGGGGCUUGUCCAAACUCACACAGCUAGGAAGUGUCUGAGGUCAGAUUUGAACUCAUGAAGUUGAGUCUUCCUGAUUCCAGGCCAGUCACUCUGUCUACUACACCACUUAGCUUAAAUGCCCUUUUUCCUAAAAGAAAAACUUGCAGGUGGCUAAAGAAUUCAACAGUGUUGCCUAAGUUACCUGGAGCCAUCAAUCAUUAUUGACCUCAAGGAUUACUCCUCGACUAAGAACUUUAAACAGCCAUUCCCCAAAAGAAAAGAGGUCAGAGGAUGUUAUUAAACAGUUCUUUAAAAAGAGUUGCUAAUUAUUAACAACCAAAUCAAGAAUGCUCCAAAUAAAGCAAUUUGGAACUAUGCCCA